UUAAUCUCAUGUGAUCAUUCAGAAAGCAUCAGAGUGGAAUGAACUCUGUGACUGUGAAGACACACCGAGCGCAGAUUCACAACCAUGAAUACUGUAAAUGCUGUGCAACUAUUCAUUCUGGUUUGGACCUUUACUGCUGUCUGUGAAGCUAAAAAUUUCAAAGUAGACUGUGAUAAUGUGACUGGAUCUGUGGAGAAAAAAGUCAAUCUCACCUGCAGAGUCUCUCAGGAAUGUGACGAAUACUGCUUUAAAAUGUAUAAGUUUAAAUUCCCCAAUAACUCAAUAAUCUGUAAACAAGAGGCUACUGUGAACUGUGAUCAGAGUAGGACCUUUACAUGCAGCUACACUCCAACUACUCCAGUGACAGACAAAUUCAGAUUCUUCGUGCAAGCAAUCUGUGGAUUGAAAAUAACAGAAUUCACUGUGGAUAUAGCAGAAACAUCAAAAACCAUAGGUGAUCCUAAACCUAAGGAUCCUGAAUCUAAGGAUACUGCCAUCGCUGCAGCUGUGGGAUGUUUCAGCAUCGUUCUCAUCAUCAUCAUCAUCAUGACUAUCAUUUGCAAAAAAAAACAAAAAAAAAAAUCUUGAGAUGUGAUAUAACAGCAUCGACUCAGCAGUUCUCAUGUGCUGCUCAUGAAACACACAUCUUUAUUUUAACUCCACCAUAAACAACAUACUGUACUCUACUAUCUGAUGUAUCUCUAACUACUGAAUAUUUACUGAAUAUAUAACUCUGGAUGUUCGUUUCUGUUUUGUAGAAGGUUUCAUCGGGCGCACGUGCCUUAACAUUUGCUUAUGUUGUUGCCGUUGAAACCAUCUAUAUUGAUUUCUGUGAAAUAACACCAUAUUAUUGAUCUGUUUGAUCAGUGUGUAUAUUUGUAUAUGUGACUUUAAUGAACUCAAGCCUUUGUGAACUUUAAGAGAAAACACAGCUAAACUUAAACUGUCUUUGGUUUUUCAGUUUUUUCAGAAUUUCAAGGAAAUGUCUAAAAUGAAUGUUAAUGUAUUAAUGUUAAUAUAAUUCAAGUUUGGAAAUGAUUUCUUAAUAUUUUGCACAUACAAUUUUCUAAUAGUACGAAUGGUGUGGUCUUGUACUGUCUUAUAUUAUUUUUAAAGAACAAUUAAAUGAAUAAAGAAUUGUAAUACUCUCUGAAGAUGAAUAUCUGUU